GUGCCUUAAACUAAUGAGUAAGGAAAAUAUAGAGCCUUGGUGAUGCUUGGCUCAGCUAGCAUUACUUAGCAAUUUGUAUUUUUGGAGAGGUACAGGUCGUCCCCUUGAGGCCCUCGUCUACUUUACAGGGGCUUCGGGUGACAGCGAUCUGCCUC